UCCGAGAUCGUCUAAUGGUAGGACUCGAGACUCUGAAUCUCGAUAUCUUGGUUCGAAUCCAAGUCUCGGAA
rnacentral:tRNA from 1 species